GAGUUUGAUCUUGGCUCAGAGUGAACGCUGGCGGCAGGCCUAACACAUGCAAGUCGAGCGGCAGCACGGGUAGCAAUACCUGGUGGCGAGCGGCGGACGGGUGAGGAAUACAUCGGAAUCUGCCUUGUCGUGGGGGAUAACGUAGGGAAACUUACGCUAAUACCGCAUACGACCGAGAGGUGAAAGCGGGGGAUCGCAAGACCUCGCGCGAUGAGAUGAGCCGAUGUCGGAUUAGCUAGUUGGUGAGGUAAAGGCUCACCAAGGCGACGAUCCGUAGCUGGUCUGAGAGGAUGAUCAGCCACACUGGAACUGAGACACGGUCCAGACUCCUACGGGAGGCAGCAGUGGGGAAUAUUGGACAAUGGGCGCAAGCCUGAUCCAGCCAUGCCGCGUGGGUGAAGAAGGCCUCGGUUGUAAG
rnacentral:rRNA from 1 species